GGCGUCGUUACCGGAGAUGCAUCGCGGCUGAAGGAGGAAACGCAACAGCAAAAUCAUGUGCAGUUCUUCAGCUCCACACCAAGAGCAACUGUUCGACAGCAGACUAGAGUGGAGCACAGACCAUGAUGUUUAGUUCCCAGGUAUGCAGGUGAGGGAAACACAAAGGCUGAUGGGACAACAGGAUAAGGAUACAAAAGGACACGAUUGCCCUGCAGGCCAAACUGGCUCUUUUACAUUUUUCUAUCAAGCAGUCUCUGAACUGGCAAGGCCCUUAUCACAUCCAUGGAUGAAUGACCGAGUGACAGCUGGGACAUGAGAAAAGCUGUGUGACUGAUGAAAUUACGUUAUGCCUAUGAGUCAUAUGAGAAAAUCUAUGUCUGCAUUUGCAUCGGGCUCUGGAUUCUUCUUUUGUCACUAUGUAAAGAGCUAUAUAUAGAUUUUGUAUGUACAUGUCCUGUACAAAAACAUUAAUUCAUCAAAUGCUUAGCAAGUCUCACUCCUACAGCCUCUCCUCCUCAUUCACCCUCCUACUUCGAUGCAUAUGACUCUUGUGCCUGUAUUAGUCACAACGCCUUUCAAAAAAUAGAGAAAAAACAAGUUGCAACAGCAUGACUGUUUAUGACAUAUUUUGUA